rnacentral:tRNA from 1 species
GCGCCGUGUAGAACUUCUGCAGGUCGGUGCCGCUGCCGCCGGUGACCUGGAUGCGGUUCAGGGCGCUGUUCCAGGCGGCGUCGGCGUUC